GGAUUUUGUGUGAUGUGUACAGUGCAGGCACAUAUUAUCCAGGCACUCAGUCAUCCUGGGGAUGCUAUUCACCCCAUCUCUGUGAUCAUUAUAGCUAGUCACUUCCGGUUUGGAAACCAAGAAGAUGCUCACAAAUUUCUUCAGUACACUCUUGAUGCUAUGCAGGAAGCGUGCUUACAGGGCAGCUA
rnacentral:lncRNA from 1 species